CAUACGGCUCAGUAACGCGUAGUCAACCUACCCUAUGGACGGAAAUAACCUCGGGAAACUGAGAAUAAUAUCCGAUAGAACAUUAUGCCUGGAAUGGUUUAUGUUCCAAAUGAUUUAUCGCCGUAGGAUGGGACUGCGGCCUAUCAGUUUGUUGGUGAGGUAAUGGCCCACCAAGACUAUUACAGGUACGGGCUCUGAGAGGAGUAGCCCGGAGAUGGGUACUGAGACACGGACCCAGGCCCUAUGGGGCGCAGCAGGCGAGAAAACUUUGCAAUGUGCGAAAGCACGACAAGGUUAAUCCGAGUGAUUUCUGCUAAAGAAAUCUUUUGUUAGUCCUAGAAACACUAACGAAUAAGGGGUGGGCAAGUUCUGGUGUCAGCCGCCGCGGUAAAACCAGCACCUCAAGUGGUCAGGAUGAUUAUUGGGCCUAAAGCAUCCGUAGCCGGCUCUGUAAGUCCUCGGUUAAAUCUGUACGCUUAACGUACAGGCUGCCGGGAAUACUGCAUAGCUAGGGAGUGGGAGAGGUAGACGGUACUCGGUAGGAAGGGGUAAAAUCCUUUGAUCUAUUGAUGACCACCUGUGGCGAAGGCGGUCUACCAGAACACGUCCGACGGUGAGGGAUGAAAGCUGGGGGAGCAAACCGGAUUAGAUACCCGGGUAGUCCCAGCUGUAAACUAUGCAAACUCAGUGAUGCAUUGGCUUGUGGCCAAUGCAGUGCUGCAGGGAAGCCGUUAAGUUUGCCGCCUGGGAAGUACGUACGCAAGUAUGAAACUUAAAGGAAUUGGCGGGGGGAGCACCACAAGGGGUGAAGCCUGCGGUUCAAUUGGAUUCAACGCCGGAAAGGG
rnacentral:rRNA from 1 species